rnacentral:tRNA from 1 species
GCCCGGAUGAUGGAAUGGUAGACAUAGAGGACUUAAAAUCCUCAGCCGUUAUAGGCGUGCGAGUUCGAGUCUCGCUCCGGGCACCA